GGAUGAACGCUAGCUACAGGCUUAACACAUGCAAGUCGAGGGGCAGCAUGGUCUUAGCUUGCUAAGGCCGAUGGCGACCGGCGCACGGGUGAGUAACACGUAUCCAACCUGCCGUCUACUCUUGGACAGCCUUCUGAAAGGAAGAUUAAUACAAGAUGGCAUCAUGAGUCCGCAUGUUCACAUGAUUAAAGGUAUUCCGGUAGACGAUGGGGAUGCGUUCCAUUAGAUAGUAGGCGGGGUAACGGCCCACCUAGUCUUCGAUGGAUAGGGGUUCUGAGAGGAAGGUCCCCCACAUUGGAACUGAGACACGGUCCAAACUCCUACGGGAGGCAGCAGUGAGGAAUAUUGGUCAAUGGGCGAGAGCCUGAACCAGCCAAGUAGCGUGAAGGAUGACUGCCCUAUGGGUUGUAAACUUCUUUUAUAAAGGAAUAAAGUCGGGUAUGGAUACCCGUUUGCAUGUACUUUAUGAAUAAGGAUCGGCUAACUCCGUGCCAGCAGCCGCGGUAAUACGGAGGAUCCGAGCGUUAUCCGGAUUUAUUGGGUUUAAAGGGAGCGUAGAUGGAUGUUUAAGUCAGUUGUGAAAGUUUGCGGCUCAACCGUAAAAUUGCAGUUGAUACUGGAUAUCUUGAGUGCAGUUGAGGCAGGCGGAAUUCGUGGUGUAGCGGUGAAAUGCUUAGAUAUCACGAAGAACUCCGAUUGCGAAGGCAGCCUGCUAAGCUGCAACUGACAUUGAGGCUCGAAAGUGUGGGUAUCAAACAGGAUUAGAUACCCUGGUAGUCCACACGGUAAACGAUGAAUACUCGCUGUUUGCGAUAUACUGCAAGCGGCCAAGCGAAAGCGUUAAGUAUUCCACCUGGGGAGUACGCCGGCAACGGUGAAACUCAAAGGAAUUGACGGGGGCCCGCACAAGCGGAGGAACAUGUGGUUUAAUUCGAUGAUACGCGAGGAACCUUACCCGGGCUUAAAUUGCAGAUGAAUUACGGUGAAAGCCGUAAGCCGCAAGGCAUCUGUGAAGGUGCUGCAUGGUUGUCGUCAGCUCGUGCCGUGAGGUGUCGGCUUAAGUGCCAUAACGAGCGCAACCCUUGUUGUCAGUUACUAACAGGUUCCGCUGAGGACUCUGACAAGACUGCCAUCGUAAGAUGUGAGGAAGGUGGGGAUGACGUCAAAUCAGCACGGCCCUUACGUCCGGGGCUACACACGUGUUACAAUGGGGGGUACAGAGGGCCGCUACCACGCGAGUGGAUGCCAAUCCCCAAAACCUCUCUCAGUUCGGACUGGAGUCUGCAACCCGACUCUACGAAGCUGGAUUCGCUAGUAAUCGCGCAUCAGCCACGGCGCGGUGAAUACGUUCCCGGGCCUUGUACACACCGCCCGUCAAGCCAUGGGAGCCGGGGGUACAAGAAGUGCGUAACCGCGAGGAGCGCCCUAGGGUAAAACUGGU
rnacentral:rRNA from 1 species